CUAUAGUUUUUUUUUAAUAUAAUUUUGGGACUCACAAUCCCAUUUUUAUAUUAUUUUUCUCUCUUCCUCUCACGUUGCUCGGCGUUUUCUCGCAAGGGGGAUUAUUUUCUUUUUCUUCAGAUUAUAUUGACAAAGAUAGUGGUGAAAAAGGAGUUGUGAAGGGGAACUUGUUAUUCAAGACACAAGGAGCGAGUCCGGCCGAGAAAGCACCAGAGGUGUAACUGUGGUGUAUGAGACACCAUCUUUUACGCUGCCUCUUAUUUUAGAUUAUACAAUGUAUCUUGUGCCAACUUAGGAC